UUUUUCAAUUGCUAAUAUGCAGCAUUGGUUUGCCUGUGAAGAAACUGUUUUAUACAGUAUUCUAAGAGGUAAAAAUUCUUCCAUAGGGUAAUUUUGGAAUAUCAACAAAUAGCCUUUAUAACACGCAAAACUUUCCAUGCAGCAUCCUCAGCAUUAAGAAUAUAUUCUAAGUAAAUAAAUAAGCACAUCUGUGUACAAACAAUGAGUCAUCAGGAUUUUCAACCAAGUGCUAUUAGUAAAGGUGAAUAAAAGCCAUUACCCAAAAUGUCCAAAAAUAGAUGAUCGAUUCAAUAAAUUAGAGUAUAUGCUGUGCAUUUGUUGCUAUGGGAUAAUAAUUUUACUUAUUACAUAGUUAUUAAAUAAACAUUGAUAAUAUUUCUUUUCAUGGAGAUGUUUUCGUUAAAAAGUUUUAGUGACCACACCAGUCCACAGAACAAUAGUUAUGCCUACAUUUUUGGAUUUCUUAAGUUAUCUGCUACUCUGAUAUAAUCACCAAUGAGUACCUAUAUUGUGUUUUUUAUUGCAUUUUGUGCCUAAAACUGAAGCGUAAUAUAAAGGCCAAAGAACACGGACAAAAAGGGAAUGGAAAACAUUUGAACAUGAGACAUGCUAGAGAAGAAAGAUUUAACAAUGAGCCAGGAGUACUCUGAAAAAGAAUUUUGUUUCCAAGUGAUUGUUAUGGAGCAAAACAAACAAAGGUACGAGUUGGAAAUAAAUUACAGGUAAAAAAAAAUAAGAAUAAACUUGCACAUAGUCUAAGAAAACGCGGCAGGAGUAGGCAAAGGACAGGAGAUGAAGACCAAGGAGAAUAGCACAUUGAUUAUUAAUCUAAUACUCCGGCUUUGGAAGUCAGUCCCAAGACAGAAAAAUUAAUCAGGAAAAAAAAGAUGGCAUCUGAGGCAGAACAGGAAAAAGACUUUCUGAGGGAGAAAAAAUAGAAUGUUUCAGGAGCCUUAGUGCAAGGGUUCACAAACUGUCACCAACCUGUUUUUGUACAAGGUAUGAGCUAAACAUUUUUAAAUGGUUUAAAAAAAAAAAAUCAAAAGAAUAAUGUUUCUUGACAUGUGAAAACUGUAUGUGAUGCAAAAAAAAUCCCAGUGUCUAUAAAUAAAGUUUUAUUGGAACAAUACCACAUGCUCAUUUGCUUUUGUGUUGCCAUGGCUGCUUUAGCACCCCAAGGUAGAGUUGAGCACUGCAGUUGCAACAAGUCUCUUAAAGCACUGGGGAAGAAAAUAAGAUGCCUCCUCCCUGGCCAUCGAUUGGCUGCAUUGGCAAGCUCGCGUGCGCCUCUGAGCCAAUCAGUGUGGCCAAGUGGGGAGGGACAAAGCCCCUUAGAACUUCCUGGGGCCGGAAGUGGGGGGAAGCCAUGUUAACCAAGGAGAAAAGAUGGUAAAGUGUAUCCGACCCGUGCGUGUGUCGACCUUUCCUUCCAACUUCCGCUCCAGCCACCUCCUCUGAGAAGCCCACAGACUGAUUUAUGACUAUCCAGGUGCCGGCAUCCUGAACACAGACUGUCUCUCCCCAGGACAGAAGGAAUGCAUACUUGAUGGCUGGAGCAACAGCAAUUAACUGUGACCAUGAAGCAAAAGCCACACGUUGAAGAUGGUGAACAUGUAGAAGAUCAAAAGAGCCUGGGCUCCUAAGACCACACGGUACUAUGCCAGUCCAGUAUUCCUAAAAUCCAGACUUCCAGGAGAUGAGAGAAAAAUGAACUUCAAUUGCUUUUAGCUAUUGCUAUUUUGGAUUUUGUGUGGCACUAAGCUGAACCAUAUCCUAAAAUUUACAAAGGCAAGGAAUCAGGUCUGUAUUUCAAGCCUUGGUUACUAAGAAAAUGUUGGCACUAUGAACAUAAAUCCAGCAAGAAAGAAUAUCAUAACUAGCAUGUGAUUUCAGAAGGAGAAAGUAAAUACUGUAUGGUAAUUUCUGAAGUCCUGGCAGAACUCUGAGUAUUCUAUCACUGUUUACAGAAAACUAAUAACCUGCUGAUAUCAUGACAGGCUACGUUGAAAAGACUCCUUUUGAAGCUGUCUUCCAGAAUGUCGGAAGUGAAUCACACCUCUCUCUUCAAUAAACGAGUUGCAUUAACUUCCCAAAAGACCAGAAAAUUAACACAGAAUGGAGAAACCUACUUCCCAGUGAAAGGACAUUUAAUUAGUAGAACUAUAAAAGUUACUUUCCUAGCUUUAGUUUUCAAUUUGGAACUUUUCUGAAUAGCUAUUACACCAUCGUUGACAAGAAUGUACAGAAAAAUCAAUAAGCUGAAAAGUUCAAGGUGGUAUAAUAUGACUAAACUUGGAAAUAUUGUGCAAUAUGGUAUUAUACUGAGCUAAUCCUACUAGAUUUUUUUCUUGUUGCUACAAUCCCUCUUAAUGCAUUGUAGUCCUCAGGUAAUGUGCUUUUGUUUUAAGGCAAAGCCAUUUCUGUGAAGCAGGGACUGAUCCCUUGGGGAAAUUUGAUCUCAAGUCUUUUUUUUUUUUUUUUUUUAAGCAAAGUGACUGUUAAAUUAUCGAGAUAACCCCUGAAAAGUCAGAACUCAUUCACAGUGAAUUCUUGGUGUGUAAAAUCAAGAAUUAGUGAAUUCAUGAAAUAAUAAAUGCAGCAGGGUUCUUUCCAGAUCAGUAAAUAGAGCAUAGGUUAAGCCAUGAUAGGAGUUGGAUCAUUCUGGAGCACAACAAUAUAUAUGUUUCCUAUGUCUUUGAAAAGACAGAUCGACUCUUUAUUUUUUAGGGGGAGGGAAGAGGGGUUCUUUGUAUUCUUUGAAUUUUUCCUUCAAAAAGCUUGAUUCUGGCAAAGAGAACCAAAGGAGUCAAUGUGCAGAAUGCAAAAUAUGCAGGUAUUUUCACAUCAGAGUCAUUGCUGGGGGUGUCCAGAUGUAUGGGUCAAGUGCUUGAAGAUCAGGGAUAGUUUUCCCAGGACCUGCAAAGUAGACUGAAAAGACUGAAAAGGCAAGACAGCCAAGGGGUAGGAGCCCAAGGGUCUCAGGCAGAUUAUCAGAGAGAGACUCUGAGAUGCUCAUUUGAACCCAGGUGAUACAAGUCAAAGAAUUCUGCACCAGAAACCCUGGCAUCAAAAUUGAGGCUCCCUUUGGUUGGGAAACAAUGAAGGACCCUGGUGGAAAAUGAAUCCUGAGAUUGGGACUAAAUAUGGAAACUUGAUGAAUAUAAUGAGCCC